rnacentral:sRNA from 1 species
UCUGAAACCCCAAUACUCAAAACGACGCAGUAUUGGGAGGGAUUAAGAACGGUACUCGACCCAGGUGGUCGAGUGAGUAGUGGAGUGAUAAGCUGGAGUCUUCUUUUCUUCCUUGUGCUCGAGUGUCUAGUUGAGUGUGGAAUGGAGAAGACUCUGAAGCUGGCCAUCGAGUAUGUAGUCGAGUGAUGGUGAUGGUGAUACUCGACUUCCUGGUAGAGUGGUGUGAUCGAGUGAUGGUCAGGUGUGGAGGUGAUGAUACUCGACCAGGUGGUCGAGUGAAGUGAUCGAGUGACUCUCAUGGUGGUACUCGGCCAGGAGGUCGAGUGGUGAGGUGAAUUGAUGAAGUCUUCUACUCGACCAAGGGGUCGAGUGGUCUGUUGAGGUCGUGAAGCUUCUACUCGACCAGGGGGUCGAGUGGUUUGACAUGAUCAUGUCCGCUUCUUCCAAUUAGCUCGCCAACAGCUCCAAAUCACCUGAAAAACACAAAUAUGCAACAUGCAUGCAAAACUAUCCUAAACAUGCAAAGUGAUGAGAAAUGAUAUAUAACAGUGAUGAUAUGAUGCUAAAGUGAUGACAAAUGGAUGCUCAAAACAUGCAAAAUACACACUUAUCAGGUCGGCCCAGGAGGCAGGCGUAUCCUUU